rnacentral:lncRNA from 1 species
GGUUGCUUUCUCAGGAAGGAGUGUUCUGUAGCCAGAGAGCCUAUCACAAGUUAGGAGAGUCACUGUAGGACCACUGAAGAUCAAAGGACCAGAACAUCUCUCUGGCGGAGACUGAGAUUGCUGAGACUGUUCAGCCUGGAGAAAGAAAGACUGAGAGCGGAUCUUAUCAAUGUCUAUCGGUCCUGGAAGGAAUGGUACAGAAAAGAUGGAGCCAGGUUCUGUGCAGUGGUACCCAGUGUGAGGACGAGAGGCAAUGAGUACAAAUCAGAACACAGGAUGUCCCCUCUGAACACCAG